rnacentral:rRNA from 1 species
UACAGAGGUCUCAAGCGUUGUUCGGAUUCAUUGGGCGUAAAGGGUGUGUAGGUGGCGCGCUAAGUCGGGGUGUGAAAUUUCGGAGCUUAACUCCGAAACUGCAUUCGAUACUGGCGUGCUUGAGGACUGGAGAGGAGACUGGAAAUUCAUGGUGUAGCAGUGAAAUGCGUAGAGAUCAUGAGGAAGACCAGUGGCGAAGGCGGGUCUCUGGACAGUUCCUGACACUGAGACACGGAAGGCCAGGGGAGCAAAACGGGG